CCCGCCACUGUACCUGUCGUGUUGUGCAGUGACUGGUGCAGCCCAGAGGUGAGCUGACAGAAAAAGCCCACUUAGGAAACAGAGUUACUACUUUUGUGGGUAACUUUGUGCUGAAGCCUGCAGACAGGC
rnacentral:snoRNA from 1 species